UACGUACCGGAUUAUCAAGAAAAUGGUACUCUGACCCCCUAAUUCCGUUCCGCCCCUAAUACAGGCCCUUACCAGACCUUACCGGCCAUCUCGGACAAUACCGGCCGAGAUGGUGGUAAUGGAAAUUUCGGGCAGUAUUUUGCUAAACUGGUCCAGAAUCCAGAUGACAACCAGAGAGAGAGAGAGAGCCAGCCCUACUUGUUUCCAUGACUGUGAGAGCGGGAGAGACCGAGAGAGGUGAACUCAGCACUUGAAUUGGAAGUCGGGCAGCAGCAGAAAUUGACAGGAGGAAGAAGGCUUAUAAAGGUGUGAAGCCCUAAAAUUACAAAAGUACUUAAUUACCCCUUACUUUACUUUUGAAAUGGUUGACCGUGGGCCUUCUUCAAAAAAGGCAAAAGUGGUUAAUUGAAAAAGGUUUUUUCUUCUUUUCUUUUUCUUUUUUUAUUUUUGUGAGCCCAAAAUUGUUUACGGGAAUAAAAUUUUAACUCUCAAGUUUUGAUAGUUAUGGGAGUGUUCAACCUCUUCUCUUUUUUUUUAAUGGAUUUACUAGAUGAGAGUUAUGUGACAGUUUAAAAAAAAAUGUUAUGAUGAAUUGAAUGUCAUGAGAAAAAUAAUGAAUUUAUAACUAUAUAUUGGUAAUUGCGCUAAAUCCGAAACGGUACCGGUAUUUGACCGGUACCAGUACCGUACCGUACCAGUACGAAAACCGGUACUCGUACCGGUACGGUAUUCAGAACUUUGCACUAGACAGGUCCAAACCAAUUUUCACAACAAGGCAGAAUGUUUGUUGACAGAUCCAGCAAAAACUCUGUACCGGUCCACAGAAUAUUCCGAACUACAUUGUUGACUUAGUCUUCUAGGUAUGGUUGUGUAAACACCCCAAUCUAGGCUUCCAGAUUAGUUUACUUUCGGUUUUUGAUUCCCCGAUGAUGAAACGGAUCAAGAACACCCCGGGAAUGAUAAGUGUUUGAGCUUUGAGCGUUUGACACCCUUUUAAACCUAACCAAAUCGGAGCCACUUCAAAAGCCAAAAACCCUACUGGCAUGCGUUGGUUGAGAGCUCGUGCGCGCAGAUCAACUUGACAGGUGUUGGUCAAUGGUCAAAGCUUGACCGUUGACCAACACGUGAGUAGGUGGUACACACGCACGACAAAAUGACACCAGCGCGCGCUGGUCAAACUGCCAGGUGGUGGUCAACAGUCAAAGUUUGACCGUUGACCCUUGCGCCAAGGCGCAAUCCUCGCGCGCCAGACUGACUCCAUCGCGCGCCGGAGCGCAAUGCCUGUUCCCACCAACUUUUCUUGAGGUGGAAACUUGGCCACCAAUGCAACCUCAGCCAGCCUCGUGGACUGGCUGAAUCCCUCUCUUUGCAGCCCAUAUCUACCUCUCUCUCUCCCUAUAAAUACCCCCUUUGUUCAUCCAUUUGAAGGGUUCAAGGGUUCCAAAAAAUACCAAGUAUCAAGUUCCAAGUGAUACAAAGCCCUAACCCUAAUUCCAAGCAACACAAGCAACCUUAUUUUCUCGCUUCUAUCACUCAUACUCCUUCAAGAACAUAGCUUGUUCUUCCACCCCAAUCAACCUCACACUCAAAGCUCAAGUACAUUUCAAACCCAAAAACCAAAGAUAUAGCUUACCUUUGUUCUGCUCUCUGUUCUGAUCCCCGAGGGGGGCUGGCAGGGUCAAGGCUAGUAAUCAAUACCAGUCCUGGCCCUAAAGCUGGCAAGGUUUCAAAAACCGUCAUGGUAGGACCAGCGCGCGACAGUCCCACUCUCGCGCACGACACUCCGUUGCUGCACAUUGGUUUCCUACUGUUCUAUGUCUUCUUGUACAUUUAGAUCACUAUCACUGUUAAGCAUGAAAAUAAUCAGUUUAUUGCUUUCCUUUGUUAGAAAUGCUAGUUGUAGUUCAAUAUGUAUUUCUGCUGUUAUGGAGUACCACUGGGACCUUUCUGAACAUACCUCAGACCCCAGAAACGUGUAAACCAAGCACUAGUCUGAUUCAGUCCCGCUCGCGCCAGGGCGCGACAAUCACAUGCCAGAGCUCAACCAUCGCGCGCCAGACUGCCUCUGACCAGUGAGUGGCCUUGCACGGGUAACUUGGCCUUAGGCCGUUAUUUUGUCCCCACACUGUUUAUGGGGUGUUUUGUUAAAUUAUAGGGCUUUUCAGCCUUUUAACUGUAUAUUAUAACUGCUUAUCAACUGCUUGGUCUGUCCUGAGUGUGCACUGGUCCUUCCAGAGCCCAGAAGAAGGUAAAAACAGAGGCUGUGAGCAAAGCAAACUCACACGCGCUUGUGUGGUAUUCAAGCGCGCAGGUUGUAAUCACAUGCAGUGAUCCGCGUGGAUUGGAUCAGUGCAUGUAGAUUCCUUCUUGUACAAGUCAAUUCAAUACAGUGCGUCAGGUUUGCUCUGUUAAACAGAACCUGGCCUUUACCCUAUUUACUAACUGCUCAUCCAUACUAUCUAUCACAUCCUGCAAACAUGUUAC